GACAGAGGUGCCAAGCGUUAGGCGGAAUCACUGGGCUUAAAGCGUGUGUAGGCGGAUCGUUAAGUACCUUGUGAAAUCCCUCGGCUUAACCGGGGAACUGCAUCUGAUACUGGAUGGCUUGAGUUCGGGAGAGGGAUGCGGAAUUCCAGGUGUAGCGGUGAAAUGCGUAGAUAUCUGGAGGAACACCGGUGGCGAAGGCGGCAUCCUGGACCGACACUGACGCUGAGGAGCGAAAGCCAGGGGAGCAAACGGG
rnacentral:rRNA from 1 species